CCAUGGGAAAUUUAAACUAUCGCUCACCUUUAUCCAUCCGCCGAAUUUCCUUUACCUUUCACAUUCCAACCUCGGUUUCUCACAAUUCCAUUUUCCAAACUCAAACCCUUUUCCAUUCCUUUAACUUUUCAUCUCUAUCCCUCUUAUUUCACAAAUCUGCUUCUCUCUCCAAUAAUCUCUCCCGUCUUUUUCUCUCCAAACCCAAAAACCGCCGCCGCCGAAAACAUUGGAACUGAUGCCCCUUUCUCCACCCUUCUUUCUUCUUCUUUCUUUCAUUACAUAGCACCGGUUUCUGCAACUUCAUCAGAUUUCAUCUUUAACAGAUCGGAACGCAAAAGUUACAUCGGUGAUGACUUUCAAUGGACAAACAUGAUGACACGUUUUGGAAGAUUUUAUUGCGUAUUCGUACCCGUUUUGAUGGAAAGGCAUAAAAUUUUGAUAUUUUCCCAUUGAAAAUCUCUUAUACAAAAAAGACUUUGGUUUCUUUCAACCAUCUUUAUUACAAAAUGAUCUUCAAAGCAGCAAGUUUUUCCUAGAGGCUGUGUUGCUGAAACAAACUAAGAAUAAUACAAAGUGCAUGUUUUCAAUGUGUAUUUCUCUUGAGUUCCUUAGCAUUUGUUCUGUUUAUUUUUUCUGUUGAUUUUAGGAUGAAUUUUGUUCUAUGGAUUUCUCACAAAUGUGAUUGAAUAUUUCAUGACGUGGCACGGGACAGAUCAAGUUAGUUCCAGACAAGAAAGGAUGCAUAAUAUUGCUUUGAUGGGAAAUUGAGAAUUUUGGUGCUAAACAAGGUAAUAUAUUCUAUGCAAUAAAUCUAAUAUUUUAUUUUUAUAUUCUUUUUGUUUCAUUGUUAACCGUUUCAAUUGUAGAUUUUGGUUUAUUUGUGGGAUAGAGUGAUUUUGUUCGAAGAUUUUAAAGUUCAUUACAGUCUCAGCAAAGGAAACACUAUUGACAUUGGACAAGAUUGUAUGGCAUUUGCUCCUGAGGUUGAAGAUAUUAUCUCAAUGAGUCGCAUUACUUUCAAUUCUGAAUUUUUUUCAUUUUUUAUUUUCAAUGAUUUGAUUGUAGCUGCAACAAUUAUCUCUUUAUUUUUUUCAUCAUUGCAGAAGAUGUUGACACUUAACCAUUUGAUUCUGUUGUGUUUGGUUUUUCUAUCA